rnacentral:rRNA from 1 species
UACAGAGGUCCCGAGCGUUGUUCGGAUUCACUGGGCGUAAAGCGUGCGUAGACGGCUAUCUAAGUCGGGUGUGAAAGCCCCGGGCUCAACCUGGGAAUUGCAUUCGAGACUGAAUAGCUAGGGUACGGUAGAGGGAAGCGGAAUUUCCGGUGUAGCGGUGAAAUGCGUAGAUAUCGUAAGGAAGACCAGUGGCGAAGGCGGGUCUCUGGACAGUUCCUGACGCUGAGGGCAG